CAAAGGCCUAUGUCCUAGUUCUGUUUUGGCUGAUGAUGCAAUUCCAAAGGACAUAACUUCUGACAAGCAGGAGCAUGGUGCAAUUGCAGCAGAUGAUGCAGAAGAAUUUGAUACUGAAUUAUCUAAUGAAGUUAUUGAUAACUCUUCACUACACCAUAGUGAUAACAUGGAAGAGAACCUUGAGUCUGGCCUUAAAGAACAAUCAGAGACUGGAUGUAUUGUUGAUGAAGGAGUAACUUAUGGUGAACAGGAGCCUGCAAGCAAUUUGGCUGAUGAUGCAGUUCCAAAUGAUUCAACUCUUGACAAAAAGGAGCAUGGUGCAAUUGCAGCGGAUAAUGCAGAUGAAUUUGGCACAGGAUUAUCUAAUGAAGUUCUUGAUAACUAUUCACUAAACCAGAGUGAUAAUAUGGAGGACAACCUUGAGUCUGGUUUCAAAAAACAAUCAGAGACUGGAUUUAUUGUUACUGAAGGAAUAGCUUCUGGUGAACAGGAGCUAACUGUAACGAACUAUGCCAG
rnacentral:lncRNA from 1 species